AUGGGCUUCCCCCCUCGGCAAAAGCCGCGCUCGCGGAGAGAAGGGCUGUCCGCAGCAGCACUGCCGCUCUCCAGCUACGCACGCAGGGAAGUCCGGAGAAAAUGGAGGCGGCAGAAUGGUUGCGUUCUCCCUCCCGAGCAGAAGCGCGGGCAGGGGGCCGACGCAAGCAGGUACUUACGAGGGAUCCCACGCCUGCGUGCAGCACCAGCUGAAGCCAAAGCAGCGCAAACAUAUCGCCGGCUAGAAAACGGCGGCGGGGCGGCAGCUCCGCCCACAAGAACGACUCGCAAGGCACAAUGGAGACAAAUGCCCCGCCUCGCUCGGACCUGGGCCAAGCGCUCGCGCCCCUCCGACCAGGUGACUGCUGGAGCUUCCGCUCCGCUUCCCCACCGCUGCGCCCCGUGGCAGGCUGAGGGAAGCUCAUCUUCGCAUGAGGCCUUGCCAGGAAUGGUGCCAAGCAGUGUCCUCCUCCUGCCUGGGUCCUUGAGCAGUGCAAGGACGCUGGGGGCGAGCAAGGAUGACAGCACAGCGGGAAAAGGGGGAAGAAGAAAAGAGUAAAAGCCUACAGCACCAGCCAACAACAAAAAAGAGCUCCUGAAUGGGUUGAAUCUCUUGCCCUGUGGCUCCCCACUGGCAGUGGCAUCCUCAACUUCUUUGUGUACUUCUGGACCAACAGGAGGUUUCGGAAGAAAUUCCAGCACAUCAGGCACCAGCUGUGCAGGCCAUGCCACUGAGCCAGGAAGCCGCGCUGUUCUCCCAGCAUCAGUGGUGCUGUGCAACAGAAGCCUCCCCCCACAGUGGAUCUGCCCACCCUCUCCCUCCCUUCUUGUGUGUAAAUCUGGUAACCUCUGUACAAGGUCCACCUCUGCAGAGCAGACCUUUGAGAAAUGCUUGAGCUGUCAGGAAGAAUUUCAGGAAACAGACACACCAGAUAAUGACAAAUAAUCCAAAUAGCUUUAGAUGAUUUGUGGUAGCUGAAAUUGCACUUAUGCCUUUGGUUACCACAACUGUUUCUCCACUAGAGUACUUUUCUGAUGGGAAGUGGCUCUCUGCAUGUAAACGGAGAGGCCAAGUUGCAGAGGUGUUGUGUCUUCCCUCUCUUUGCCCCUCCAAGGCAUGUCCAGGGUGCUGUAGGCUGUGAGCUGAAAACAAAACAACCCUUGAGGUUGGCGUCUUAGAGCAAUGGGCAGGAAAACUGUGCCCAUGGGACUGAUGGGGGGGACAUCUGAAAUGCAGCUGAAACUCUGAAAUGUUGGAUUUUCACUCCGGAAUAUUACUUCUGCCACUUCUCUGCACCUUUCCUUUCUCAUAUGCACACUUAGGCAACCAUCUCAUUCCAGAAGACUGUAGAAAACUGUUUCAGCAGUCAAGAUAGUUUUUUUAAAGGGUUAAAACAUGUAAGGCGACAAUGAUUUUAAAGUCCUUUUAAUGGCCAGCCUCUGGUUAUCUAACAUGAAUUUUUAGAGUACAUAAGAACAUAAGAGGAGCCUUGCUGGAUCAGGCCACGGCCCAUCUAGUCCAGCAUUCUGUUCCACACAGUGGCCCACCAGUUGCUGCUGGGCAUUCUCAAGCAGAAGAUAAAGGCAAAACCUUCACCUGCUCUUGACUCCCCGCAAUUGGUUUUACAGACAUCCUGCUUGUCUUUCCAACCUGGAGGCAGUACCUAGGCAUCCAUUCUAGUAGCCAUUGAUACACCUGACCUCCAUGAAUCUGUCCAAUCCCUUCUUAAAGCUGUCCAGGCUGAUGGCUGUCACCACCUCAUCUGGUAAUAAAUUCCACAGACCGACAACUCUCUGGGUAAAA
rnacentral:lncRNA from 1 species